AUGGAUGGAGAGAGCAGUGUCACUCAGCCCAGUGUGACGGUGUUGCCUCCCUCCAGUGUGGAGCUGCAGCAGGAGAAGGUCACACUCAUGUGUGUGGCCGACAAGGGCUUCCCCUCGGACUGGACACUGAGCUGGAAGGUUGAUGGGAGCAGCUGGAGCUUGGGGGAGAGCCGCAGCGCCGCCGUUCUGCACGCGGACGGCCUCUACAGCUGGAGCAGCACGCUGAGCCUCCACCCGGAGCAGUGGAGGAACAAGGUGGUGACCUGUGAGGCCUCCAAAGACAACCAACCUACUGUGGUGGGCAGAGUGAACACAGAGCAGUGCUCAGAGCUGUGA